AUGUUCAAAAUUUUAAGUGAAGCGCCCAAAGGAGUCCCGACGAUUAAACAAAUAGAAGCAGUUGGCAAGGUUUUCAAGACUCGUCCUUUUUCUUCAAAGGGAAAAGGUUCACACGACAAUGGCCUCACCGAUUUUAGCCAGCGAAAGGAAUGCCAACAGAAAGUUUGUGCAGAACGCGCGUUAAGAAAACCCGAAAUCGAAGAACCGAAAUGCGAUAAGGUAUCCAGUCCCAAGACGUGGCGUGCAUGCCCAGAUCCACCAACUCCCAAGGAAUUUUCGUGUGACGAUACUUUGCAACACAAAGUACCUCGGCGAAAGAAGCGUGCUAUGGCAUCUCGACCAGCGUGUUCAAAACCGGCACCAAGCGUGGAAGCUUUGGAAUGUGUGAAAGUCAAGACCGACCUGUGUCCUCGAAUCGGUGUUCCAGGAUGUCAUAAGGCAAAGUUUCCACCUAAGUGUGACCUGCCCAAGGCAGUUCGGAAUUGCAUUAAAUUGAAGGCGCCUGUCCCUUCGUUCUCGGAAUGCUACCGAAAUCCUUUUCCUCCCCAGCUUCGAUCCGAAUGCACCUGUUUGACGACACCCGAAAUUUGCCUUUGAAAUACCAGUCAAUUAGAACGACAUGAAUAGUAUAAAUUUUGAGAUUUCUGUCGGCAAAAUUAAGAAGUGCCUUUAGGCAUAGUCAUCCAUUCCGCCAGAUUCCUACAAAAAUCCUAAAGAGGAAACCCAAAUUGUAAUGUGUAGAAGCCGAGGAGACCGUAGCCGUUUAGCUGCAUUUUUAUUUGUAACUCAUUAUGUACAAAU